UUGAACGCUGGCGGCAUGCUUUACACAUGCAAGUCGAACGGUAACAGGCCUUCGGGUGCUGACGAGUGGCGAACGGGUGAGUAAUGCAUCGGAACGUGCCCAAUCGUGGGGGAUAACACAUCGAAAGAUGUGCUAAUACCGCAUACGACCUGAGGGUGAAAGCAGGGGAUCGCAAGACCUUGCGCGACAGGAGCGGCCGAUAUCGGAUUAGCUAGUUGGUGAGGUAAAGGCUCACCAAGGCGACGAUCCGUAGCUGGUCUGAGAGGACGACCAGCCACACUGGAACUGAGACACGGUCCAGACUCCUACGGGAGGCAGCAGUGGGGAAUUUUGGACAAUGGGGGCAACCCUGAUCCAGCCAUUCCGCGUGAGUGAAGAAGGCCUUCGGGUUGUAAAACUCUUUCGGCAGGAACGAAACGGUGAGCUCUAACAUAGCUUGCUAAUGACGGUACCUGAAGAAGAAGCACCGGCUAACUACGU
rnacentral:rRNA from 1 species